rnacentral:rRNA from 1 species
UCCCAGACUCCUACGGGAGGCAGCAGUGGGGAAUAUUGCACAAUGGGGGGAACCCUGAUGCAGCGACGCCGCGUGGGUGAAGGAGUAUUUCGGUAUGUAAAGCCCUAUCGGCAGGGAAGAAGCAAGACGGUACCUGACUAAGAAGCCCCGGCUAACUACGUGCCAGCAGCCGCGGUAAUACGUAGGGGGCAAGCGUUAUCCGGAUUUACUGGGUGUAAAGGGAGCGUAGACGGCAUGGCAAGUCAGAUGUGAAAGCCCGGGGCUCAACCCCGGGACUGCAUUUGAAACUGUCAGGCUGGAGUGCAGGAGAGGUAAGUGGAACUCCUAGUGUAGCGGUGAAAUGCGUAGAUAUUAGGAGGAACACCAGUGGCGAAGGCGGCUUACUGGACUGUAACUGACGUUGAGGCUCGAAAGCGUGGGGAGCAAACAGGAUUAGAUACCCCUGUA